AACAUGAAUUUGAAAGAACGAGAGAGCUGUACGAGAGACUUCUAGACAGAACAAAACACUUGAAAGUGUGGAUUAGUUAUGCCAAAUUUGAGGCUUCAGCAAUGGAGGAUGACAGUCAACUUUCGGAAUUACCAAAAGACAACAUGCAGGAAUAUCUUCAUGCACGGAAGCAACAAUGUAUUCAACAGGCUAGAAGAGUCUUCGAGAAAGCUAUUACUUACUACAGAAAUUCAGUGCCAGAGUUGAAAGAGGAGAGAGCUAUGCUUCUUGAAGAAUGGUUGAAUAUGGAGACGAGUUUUGGUGAGUUUGGG
rnacentral:misc_RNA from 1 species